UUUAGAGGUGACUCUGGGAUGCAUUCUCAAAUACAGUGCAUGCUUUCUAAAUUUACAGUCUGAUUUAUUGCUGCCAGUUAUGACUGCCAAAUGCUUCUGACAGUGUGGCCAGUUUGUGGUGUCCCUAAAAAUCAUCAGCAAUUUGAAAACAUUAGCACCCGGCAAUAGUCGUACUUCGCAAUGAUUGCCUGUAUUUAUCACCUUACUUUUCCAGGGUACAAACUGAAAAAAAAAAUCAAGGAGGAAAAUUAAACUUCUCUAGCAGCACGGAAAAUACAGCAUUGGAAAUAAAAUGCAUCGUAGGAACUCAGCCCCUCCCUGUAUUCUUUAAAAAUUAAAAUAAACAAUUUAAACUCUGUGGCUUAUGUGGCUACGUAGAAGAAAAAUAUUGCACUGAACUAGUUCCUGGAAAUGCAGGAGUAGACAAGAAAGGCUUGACUUCCAUAGGGGUCUUGCAGUUUACUGAGAUGCACAAUUAUGUUGUUACAAUUGGGAAGAAGAGACGUGCAAGUCCUGGGCGACUACAGACAGCAAGGUAAAGGUACACCUCCCUGAAGAACAAGAGCAAAUCUGAAACCUGAAAGAUGGUUAUGAACAAAGCACUGUGUAACAUGGGGAUUGGGAGAACAUUCCAAGCCGAGAAAGGACAGCGGUGAAGGUUCCACAUGGCGCCACCUUACAGGGAUUUGCAGUGUGUGCAGCACCAAGGUGCUGGCCAGAAGGUGAGUGACAUCCAGGCCCUGCUCUGCUCUCCAGCUUGGACAUCCCGGUGUGUCACUGACAACCCACCAAAGGACACAAAAGUAGCAGAUGAUUGCCAAGACAAGUCCUAUGAAUGCAUUGAUUUGAGUCCAGGAUAAACUGUUUUAACCUAAAAACUCUAAAAUGUAGUGAUUGAAAUAAUCUAGGAGGUUGUUUUCCCUGGCGUAACAUUAUACGUGCAUGUGGUCUAGGGCUGGUAGCAUCGCUCUGCCACUUUCAUUGUGUUGGCCAAUCUCAAUGAGUCCAAAGCUGCUCCAAAGGCGCUAUCCCUUGGCCUUCUGGAAUAGACAUACAACCCGUGACACCACAGGCAUCCCUUACAUAGGGCAAGAAACACAAACAGCAUGCAUCAUUUCUCACUUCCCAUUGGUGAUAACCUAAUCAUCACACGGCCACACCAAGACUCAAGGGAAGCUGAGAAGCAUCUUCUCUGGCUGGCUGCCAUGUGCUAUCAUCAAAGAGGGGAGGAUGAAGGUUGGUGGACAUCCAGGGGACUGUGCUACGAGGAAGGAUGGUGGGGGCAAGGAGUGAGAUAACGAUGGAGAGGCAGGCAGGGGGCAGAUCGUGAAAGGGCUUGUUUAAAGCAAAGGGAAGCCAUGCUAGUGUUUUCAAAAGAGCAGUGACAGAUUUAUGGGUAUCUGCUUGCAGAAAAGGCUAUUACAGAGAAGGCUUGAUUAGGGUAAAUACAAGCUGAGGUUUCCUAGUGAUUCUCUCUUUUAAUUCUCAGAUGUCCUUGUUUACCAACAGCCCAAAUUCUGCAUGCAGAACACACCUAAGUCAUAGAGUCUCCAAAGAAAUUGCCUGGAAGCUCCGAUUUUAAUGGAAAGUUUUUCUGUAGUUGUGGAUGGAAACCUGAGCUAUCCUAUAUUAUGCAGCUCUACACUGUCAGUGACCUUGUGAUGUGGCUCUGAGUUUUCACAAGGUCACCCAGGCCCGACAGAACACACAACCGAAGGCGCAGGGGUUGCGGCACAGCACAUCCGUACUUGUAGACAUCGCGUGGCCCUGCGUCCUGGCAGGGCAGGGCAGAGAACAAAACCACUCUCAAGGCCGGCACAGUCCCACCAGCAGGCCCUUGGAGGAGCGUCAAAUCCUGCCACAGACACAGGACCCAUCUACAUGGCUUCUUGGCCCUGAGGAGAUGGGCUGCUGAAGCCAGCACCUCCAAUUCUGUCUAUAGUGGAAAACAGAGAGGCUGAGGACUGAAUACCUGCUGUCUGAGUUGGUUCAAUGUACAGGAACGGGACUUUAAUUCAGGGAGGUGAGAUGUGAGAAAGAGCAACUUCGAAAGUCACCCAUCUCACACCUGUAGCCUGAACUUGACAAUUCUACUCCUAUAACAACAACAACCGCUGCAGCAACAUUCAGAUACACCCACUGUGAGGCAGGCACACCACAGCCUUCUUGCCCUUACAAACCAUAGGCAGCACCUCAGCACCACAUCUGGGGGCCACUGUGAACAGUGAAAUAACCAACAAAAAGCACAAAAAUCCAAAAAUUAUGGCACUAAAUGGACUGCAAAAUGGACACUUGCUUACAGUAUGAGAAAUGAAACAAGAAGGCAGAGAAUCGCCUUCUUCAGCCUCAGCUGAGAACGUGUGCAUUGGACGACUCAAAUUUUUCACUUCUCUGUGCAUGUCCAAGAAUGACCAUAUUGAGUAGGGGGUUACAAGUAAAUUUGAGCAAGUAGGCAAAUUCCCAAGGAGAAUUUGUGAAUAAUGUGGAUCGACUUUAUAUAUUCUUUUGCCAUGAUGUUGCCUACAACUGGUGGGGAAGAUGGGCAUUAAGAAAUUACAAGUAUAACAAAUAGCACUGGAGGGAGGAGGAGAUGAAGAGACUACAAAUCCAUACAAUGAGGAAACCUCAACUAAUAUAAAGGUUCAAGGGCUGACUCCCCAAGGCCUAAGGGACAAAAAGUUAUCCAGCGUGAAAGGGAUUCUGGUUGGACAAAUCAUCAUGUUGCACAGAUCUGACAGCGAGAGAGAAGGUGAUUUUUUUUUUUUCUAGUUCAGAAUGACUGGAGCACAAAAUAAGAAAGGCAGCAUGGGAGAAAGUGAGACUUAAGAGGUGAGAUCUUGAAGGGUCUCACCUUUAAGAUCCUUCAGGGAGCAUCUUGGUAAAGGGUUUGGAGUUCAUUUUUAAGGGCAUUGGAAAGCCCCUGAAGAGGCUGAAGUGUGGGGGAAGGAUUUUUAUCAAUUUUUUAUCUUAGAAGAUUUCUCAGAAUUACAGGGUGCAGGGUUGGAGUGGGUGCAAAGAAUGGUAUAGGGAACACAGGGGCUAUUUCGCUAGACCACAUGGGAAGUGGUGAUGGUUUGGGGGAGGGUGGUGGUCUAUGCCUGGAGAGAAGAUUGUGGAUUUGGGAAGCUUGCUUGGAGAAGAUAGAGAUGAGUGAUUUGAGAUGAUUCCCACGUCUCUGGCUCAACUUAGUAGGGCUAAUGUUGGAAGAGCUGGGUUUGGUUUGACUUGGUUUGGUUUUCUUGGGGUGGCAUAUGAUAUUAGAAGACCUAAUUUGAAUGAAGUACCCACAGACAUUUAAGUGGAACUAUCUAGGAUGCAGAUGAAUGUAUGGGCUUGGAGCUUAGAAAAAAAAAACAGGCUGGAAGUGGAGAUUUGGAAUUCAUCAGAAUAAAGACUGUAACUAAAGCCAUGCAAAUUAGAGAGUGAGGAGUGAAGUGAGAGUGGAGAGUGAGGUGAGAGCGGGGAGUGAGGUGAGAGCGGGGAGUGAGGUGAGAGCGGGG
rnacentral:lncRNA from 1 species